CUCUCCUAUCGGUCACGCCCUCCAGUUAGCUUGCAGGUGGCUAUGUACUCAUUAGCGUCAAUGGCACUUUCUAUAAGACCGGCACCGGAGGUGGGCUAGUAAGUGAUCCCUAGGCUCCGUACGUCCUCCCUACACUGUGCUCGCUGUGCUCGCUGUGCUGUCACCUAUGAAAGGUAUGUGCCAAUGCUCCUUUUUCACUGCAAACAUGUUAUUUUAGCCAGCUGUUUUUAAAGUGCAACUGUUUGACAACAGGUAUUUGGCUGUGUACCAGACGCUUCCGGGUAGUGUUUUGUUGAUCUACCGAAGGUAUUUACAAGCACUACACCGUAGAUGAUUGAACUGUAUGGUCCUUUUGUAAAUGCCUUCACGCACAUUCACAGCAUUGUCUUUAACGUAGGUCUUGACUGAAAAGACGCCGUGUACACGCAGGUUGCACUUUCUAUUGGGAGAUGCGUUAAGGUUUGCGUACUGGAGAGAUACCAGGGAGUCCCAUUUCCAUUCAUGUUGAGUGGUGUAUUCCUAGAGAAAGAUUGCCACUGCUGCUUUGCCUCCUGUAGAUUUAAGUAAUUGUAGCUCUUGCCUCAUUUUGUUUUCUUUAUUUUGUUUUGUUUGUCCGAUUGAUUUGGCCUAAACAUAGGCGUGGCUGGUUUCAUUUAUUUGCCCUCCGUCGUGGUGUGUCGGCAACAGGUGUGGUAUUGGCUGCCCCAGUAUUUUGCUGUGGUAAUGUGGGAUGGUAGUAAUGCUAACAUCUAGCUUUCUUGACCCAGCCAGUUAUUGCCAAUAGCAACCAUAUCUUCCCUUCUCCCCUCCAGAGAAACAGAGUGUUGCAGCUGUUCCGCGGGGCAGGUCGCCGGAUCUGAGUCCUCCUCUUCGUGUACUUCACACAGUAUUUGUAGUGGUAACGUGCACCUCACUAUUUGCAGUGAUCACUCUUUGUAGUGCCUA